rnacentral:rRNA from 1 species
GCAGAGAACUUUCCAGAGAUGGAUUGGUGCCUUCGGGAACUCUGACACAGGUGCUGCAUGGCUGUCGCCAGCUCGUGUCGUGAGAUGUUGGGUUAAGUCCCGUAACGAGCGCAACCCUUGUCCUUAGUUACCAGCACGUUAUGGUGGGCACUCUAAGGAGACUGCCGGUGACAAACCGGAGGAAGGUGGGGAUGACGUCAAGUCAUCAUGGCCCUUACGGCCUGGGCUACACACGUGCUACAAUGGUCGGUACAAAGGGUUGCCAAGCCGCGAGAUGGAGCUAAUCCCAUAAAACCGAUCGUAGUCCGGAUCGCAGUCUGCAACUCGACUGCGUGAAGUCGGAAUCGCUAGUAAUCGUGAAUCAGAAUGUCACGGUGAAUACGUUCCCGGGCCUU